GAGGAAUAUUGCACAAUGGGGGAAACCCUGAUGCAGCGACGCCGCGUGGAGGAAGAAGGUCUUCGGAUUGUAAACUCCUGUUGUUGAGGAAGAUAAUGACGGUACUCAACAAGGAAGUGACGGCUAACUACGUGCCAGCAGCCGCGGUAAAACGUAGGUCACAAGCGUUGUCCGGAAUUACUGGGUGUAAAGGGAGCGCAGGCGGGCGAUCAAGUUGGAAGUGAAAUCCAUGGGCUCAACCCAUGAACUGCUUUCAAAACUGAUUGUCUUGAGUAGUGCAGAGGUAGGCGGAAUUCCCGGUGUAGCGGUGGAAUGCGUAGAUAUCGGGAGGAACACCAGUGGCGAAGGCGGCCUACUGGGCACCAACUGACGCUGAGGCUCGAAAGUGUGGGUAGCAAACAGGAUUAGAUACCCUGGUAGUCCACACCGUAAACGAUGAUUACUAGGUGUUGGAGGAUUGACCCCUUCAGUGCCGCAGUUAACACAAUAAGUAAUCCACCUGGGGAGUACGACCGCAAGGUUGAAACUCAAAGGAAUUGACGGGGGCCCGCACAAGCAGUGGAGUAUGUGGUUUAAUUCGACGCAACGCGAAGAACCUUACCAAGUCUUGACAUCCUGCGACGAUGCUAGAAAUAGUAUUUUCCUUCGGGACGCAGAGACAGGUGGUGCAUGGUUGUCGUCAGCUCGUGUCGUGAGAUGUUGGGUUAAGUCCCGCAACGAGCGCAACCCUUAUGGUCAGUUACUACGCAAGAGGACUCUGGCCAGACUGCCGUUGACAAAACGGAGGAAGGUGGGGAUGACGUCAAAUCAUCAUGCCCUUUAUGACUUGGGCUACACACGUACUACAAUGGCGUUAAACAAAGGGAAGCAAGCCUGCGAAGGUAAGCAAAUCCCAAAAAUAACGUCCCAGUUCGGACUGCAGUCUGCAACUCGACUGCACGAAGCUGGAAUCGCUAGUAAUCGCGGAUCAGAAUGCCGCGGUGAAUACGUUCCCG
rnacentral:rRNA from 1 species